GACGAACGCUGGCGGCGUGCUUAACACAUGCAAGUCGAGCGGAGCGGCGAACGGGUGCGUAACGCGUGAGUAACUGCCCCCCUCUCUGGGAUAACAGUUGGAAACGGCUGCUAAUACCGGAUAGUGGGGGAUGACUCGCGUCCAAUCAGCUUGUUGGGGGGGUAGUGGCCUACCAAGGCGACGACGGGUAGCCGGCCGGAGAGGGCGACCGGCCACCUGGGGCUGAGAUUAGGCCCAAACCCCUUCGGGAGGCCGCAGUGUGGAAUAUUGCACCAGGGGGGAAACCCUGAGGCAGCAACGCGCGUGCGGGAUGACGGCCUUCGGGUUGUAAACCGCUUUCAGCCAUGACGCGGUAGUGGCAGAAGAAGCACCGGCUAACUACGUGCCAGCAGCCGCGGUAAUAC
rnacentral:rRNA from 1 species